GCCGUAUUAGCUCAGUGGUAGAGCGCAUCCUUGGUAAGGCUGAGGUCGGCAGUUCAAUCCUGCCAUACGGCA
rfam:Asticcacaulis sp. AC466 contig00017, whole genome shotgun sequence.